AGCAGCCGCGGUAAUUCCAGCUCCAAUAGCGUAUAUUAAAGUUGUUGCAGUUAAAAAGCUCGUAGUUGAAUUUCGGGAUUGACGUGACGGUCAUGCCUUAAGGGGUAUGAACUGUUACAGUUGAUUUCUCACCUUCUGGAGAAACUUGAUGUCCUUUAUUGGGUGUCUUGCGGAUCCAGGACCUUUACCUCGAAAAAUUAGAGUGUUUAAAGCAGGCAUUUUUGCUCGAAUACAUUAGCAUGGAAUAAUAGAAUAGGACGGCAUGGUUCUAUUUUGUUGGUUUCUAGGAUCACCGUAAUGAUUAAUAGGGAUAGUUGGGGGCAUUAGUAUUCAAUUGUCAGAGGUGAAAUUCUUGGAUUUAUUGAAGACUAACUACUGCGAAAGCAUUUGCCAAGGAUGUUUUCAUUAAUCAAGAACGAAAGUUAGGGGAUCGAAGACGAUCAGAUACCGUCGUAGUCUUAACCAUAAACUAUGCCGACUAGGAAUCAGACGAUGUUAAUUUUUAAUGACUCGUUUGG
rnacentral:rRNA from 1 species